rnacentral:rRNA from 1 species
GCAAGUCGAACGAAGAGGCUCUUUCGGGAGUACUUCAGUGGCGGACGGGUGAGUAACGCGUUGACAACAUGCCUUAGAGUGGGGGAUAACAUCUGGAAACGGGUGCUAAUACCGCAUAUGUGUUAGGUUGAGAUACUUAGCAUGGAAGAUUUAUUGCUUUAAGAUUGGUCUGCGUGAGAUUAGCUAGUUGGUAGGGUAAUGGCUUACCAAGGCGACGAUCUCUAGUUGGUCUGAGAGGAUGGCC